UACGAAGGGGGCUAGCGUUGUUCGGAAUUACUGGGCGUAAAGCGCACGUAGGCGGGUCUUUAAGUCAGGGGUGAAAUCCUGGAGCUCAACUCCAGAACUGCCUUUGAUACUGAAGAUCUUGAGUCCGGGAGAAGUGAGUGGAACUGCGAGUGUAGAGGUGAAAUUCGUAGAUAUUCGCAAGAACACCAGUGGCGAAGGCGGCUCACUGGCCCGGUACUGACGCUGAGGCACGAAAGCGUGGGGAGCAAACAGG
rnacentral:rRNA from 1 species